GAUGAACGCUGGCGGCGUGCCUAAUACAUGCAAGUCGAGCGAACAGAUGAGGAGCUUGCUCCUCUGACGUUAGCGGCGGACGGGUGAGUAACACGUGGAUAACCUACCUAUAAGACUGGGAUAACUUCGGGAAACCGGAGCUAAUACCGGAUAAUAUAUUGAACCGCAUGGUUCAAUAGUGAAAGACGGUUUUGCUGUUACUUAUAGAUGGAUCCGCGCCGCAUUAGCUAGUUGGUAAGGUAACGGCUUACCAAGGCAACGACGCGUAGCCGACCUGAGAGGGUGAUCGGCCACACUGGAACUGAGACACGGUCCAGACUCCUACGGGAGGCAGCAGUAGGGAUUCUUCCGCAAUGGGCGAAAGCCUGACGGAGCAACGCCGCGUGAGUGAUGAAGGUCUUCGGAUCGUAAAACUCUGUUAUUAGGGAAGAACAAAUGUGUAAGUAACUAUGCACGUCUUGACGGUACCUAAUCAGAAAGCCACGGCUAACUACGUG
rnacentral:rRNA from 1 species